CCAAUAGCGUAUAUUAAAGUUGUUGCAGUUAAAAAGCUCGUAGUUGAAUUUCGGGAUUAGUAGGUUGGUCGUGCCUAUGGUAUGAACUGGCUUUACUGAUUCCUCCUUCUUGAAGAACUGUAAUGUCAUUAAUUUGGUGUUGCAGGGAAACAGGACUGUUACUUUGAAAAAAUUAGAGUGUUUAAAGCAGGCUAACGCUUGAAUACAUUAGCAUGGAAUAAUGAAAUAGGACGUUUGAUCCUAUUUUGUUGGUUUCUAGGAUUGACGUAAUGAUUAAUAGGGAUAGUUGGGGGCAUUAGUAUUCAAUUGUCAGAGGUGAAAUUCUUGGAUUUAUUGAAGACUAACUACUGCGAAAGCAUUUGCCAAGGAUGUUUUCAUUAAUCAAGAACGAAAGUUAGGGGAUCGAAGACGAUCAGAUACCGUCGUAGUCUUAACCAUAAACUAUGCCGACUAGGGAUCGGAUGAUGUUAAUUUUUUAAUGACUCAUUCGGCGCCUUACG
rnacentral:rRNA from 1 species